UUCGUCCAGAGCAGGGGCAUGCCUGUGAACACGACACUUACUAUCCACGUUGGUGGUCGAAUGUGCUCAACGACAGAGAAAUCAUCCUUCACCUGGACAUGCGACUUUCCAUCACUCGCGCCAGUUCUUCAGAAAAGCGGUGCUACAUGUGAAGACUCCAGCAGCCAAAGGACAGUGUCGACAGCAGAUCAAAGCGUUUGUGGAGAGAACUUUUGUGGGAAAAUAAAUAUGAAUCAUGGAAUAUAUGAAGUUCACGUGGUCACAGAAUACCGGAGAUUUUACGUUGGGUGCAUCAACCAGACCAGGAUAGGAAACAGGAAUGCGAAAGACACAUUUUUAAAUUUCUCCUGGUUGAAUGAAGAGUUUGGCAGGAUCGCAGGCAGCGUGGCCGCUCCCGUACUCACCAUCAUCCUCUGCUUGGUGUAUGUCAGGUUCAAGAAAAAGCAACUGCGGAAACGACUCGACGCUCAGCGCGUAGCUGGAUUAUGAGCUCCCGAGAACUGAAGUGGACAGAGGCACAGAUGUCACUUGUUGACUGGUAGUCACAGAGGCUGCGUCUGUGACAGUCAACAUGGCAGUGUCACUGACAAACAGCUCAGCCCUGGCACUCAGAUUGAAAAUACCCCUGACAGGCAAUAUAUUGAUAUAUGACAGUGUUAUCAUAUUUAUUGUGACAAGUUUUAGUAAGCCUGGCAUCACUGUUAUGUAAUACUUUUGUUUCCUUUUCUCAGUCUUUUCUUUGAAAUUCUUUCCCACUCACUUUUUUCAGCACCUCUAAAUUACUUUCUAAAAUACUCGUUAGUUUUAACUGCUUUUUCUUUUCGGUCUAAAAUAAAUUAGGCUUCGAGGUCAAAAUUCUUCUCAGCUUCAGUAUAUGUUUUUAAUCACAUUUCAAGCUAUUAUGUAUCUAGUCAUUUAAGUACUUGUUUAUACCAUGGUUUCCAGUCAGUUUUUUUCAGUCAUGACUGAAGUUAGAAAUGCUGGUAAGCAGCUGAAAACUAUGUGAAGAAAUUCUACACUCAGCUACAUGAGCUCUUGGACACAAGCUGUAUCUAGCCUUGAUCAAACCUGUCAAAGGACUACGGAGAGACAAGUUUAGCAGAACCUAUAGUAUUGAUUGAGUAAAGCCUCACAAAUCCUAUAC